rnacentral:rRNA from 1 species
CGCAAAUCAUGCACCACUUUUGCAAAAGCUUUUACUCAUAAGAAGUCGCGAGAUGUUGAUCUUGAUGAUUUUUUCUCCGAGUUAAAAGUAUUGCAACUAACCUUGCCAGAUGCUUUGAUGUCAGCACUUGAGAUUCUUCAGUUUGUUACCGCUGCAAAUUGCUAUCCAAAUGUAUCAGUUGCCUAUCGGAUCCUCUUGACUAUACCUGUGACUGUAGCCUCAGCUGAAAGAAGUUUCUCUAAACUGAAACUAUUGAAGAAUUGUUUGAGGUCAACUAUGUUACAAGACAGAUUGAAUGGCUUGGCUACAUGUUGCAUUGAGAAGGAUAUCUUGGAUAAAAUUGAUCUUGAGAUUAUAAUCAAUGAUUUUGCAUCUAGAAAUGCCCGG